GCCCUUAUCAGUUGUAUAAACGACCUAGCUCCUUUACCCGCAGUAUCCGCACCCUUAUCUCUACCAGACGCCCUCACCCUAAAGAAUACAUCCAGUCUUCCCGCCUGGAUCAGUGUGCUCUUCAAGCCACCUCUGCUGAGCAAUAUGUCACUCUGGAGAUUCCCUCCGAGUUGCUCUCCAACUGGAAACGAGAAGGUUAUACUCAUCUCCACCUUGGCGGCAUCAGAUUAAUCCUUACCCUUCAUGGGAGAAAAGGAUUACCGGUUACCGCUCGACUUGCUAUGCUUGAUACCCGGUUUAAACAGUACCAAGAUGCUGUUAUCGGUACUGUUCUCACAACCCUUCAUGCAGGAAGUGUUUUACUCACUUUCUAUCCCAAUUUCAAUCUUUCUCUCCAAGACCCCAAUUUGCCCACAACCUUGAAAGUCCAAGUUCAGAUUCAAGGUGCUGAACAAAUUUCUUCUGCAAAAAUUGCCACUUUACAUCACCAACUGGUCUACAGGCUUCAAAAUCAUGCCUUAGAUCUACCCGCUCCAGAACACCACUCUGACACCCUCAUGGUGUUAGCAGAAUCUGACCAGAUCCCGACAAUCAUCCAGAUUCCCCGACAAAUUCCCCGUCAUGAGCUCAUCAAGCUUAUGCCUCUUGAAUGGAUCUCCAACUAUGAACAGUUCCACAACAAUACAGCUCCAAUUCAGACCUCUGACGGCAUGUUUGAAAGACGACAUGAUGGAACAGUCAGAAUGACUUUUAAACCACCCCCCAGUGCUCCACAAGAGCCUCCUAGGCUCUCCUUUACCUAUUCUUCAAUGAUCACAGCUGUUCAGACAGCGCAGGAAGAUCUGCCCAUUACAGGGUUUAAUUCUCAAGGCUACCCUGUUUAUCCAGCCAAACACAAUGGCCAUUUCCUAUGGGAUGCCCCUGGUUCCGGCAUGUGUGACCCAAAUUGUCCCUGCUGGGAUGAUUGGGAAGAAGACGAUGAUUACGCAACCACAAGGAAAAAGAAACCCAAAAAGAAAAAACCUCCUGUUCCAUGUCACCACUGUGACCCUAAACCACCAUCAGAUCCUCCACCUCCACCGGCUCCAUUACCCAUCUACCGAAAAGAACUCACAUGGAUUGCCAAACAUUGCAAAUCUGAGAUUCCAUCACCACUCUCACACCCAACACCUAUCGUCCAACCACUGGCUUGUAUGAUGUUUUCCUCUACUUCUUCAGAUUACUCUUCCUUUCCUCCUUUGGAACCCCAUACAGAUUCUCAACGAAAUGUUGUGUCCAAACCCUUUAUCCCUUCCCCUAUUACCUCCACUGGCCACCUAGAACCUCCCAAACCUUUUGAAUCAGUCCUCAACUGGCAAACCCAAAAUGCUAGAGCACAGAAUGAUACUUUGGUCAAUAUCAAUUCCAAAGUUGAGAAAAUCAGUUUACGAACUGACCAGCUUGAGACAAAGGUUGACUCCAUCUCUGCACAGAUGCAGCAGAUCCACCAAAAUCUCCAGUCCAGAAUUGGCCAACUCGAUUCAGAGUUACGAGCCAUGCUAGCCCACAGAUACAAUGGUCCCGAAUUUGACCAAAAGGAAAGGGAAAUCAGGCGAUUAAAAGCUGAACUUGCUCAGAUUGAAUCUGAAAAACAGAGACCUACCCUUUUCACCAGUUCACCUCUUAUUCCUUCUAUCGGUCCAACUUACCAUCCUUUUGCCUCUAUGCUCUCUCCUAUUAAACAAUAUGACCCUUCCAAGUUAUUUGGCAUGACUCAUACUCUUUUCAGAGACAAUCCUUUGCCACCGCCACCUAAACCUAAACCCAAACCUAGACCGCAGCCUCGACCUCCCCCUCUUCAUCCUUCCUCUCUGACCAUCCCUGGCCAACCAUCUCCUACUUUUACACCGACCUCACCACCAGCUCCUUUAUCAGUCCCUGCCCAAUCAAAAGAUAAAGAACCCAUGAACCAAUUUACUGCUCACGCAGUCAUCCAUUCAUCUACUGACGAUCAAACUUCUGCUUCAAAUCUAGCUGUUUCAGAUAGCCAUACCGAAACCGACUCAGAAUCUUCAGCAUCCACCAGUGACUCUGAAAAGUCCUAUGCUGAUAUUACCAAAAUCCUGAUGGCUCAACCUGAUCAAGGCCAAACCUCUCAUACAGAACCAUAUGUUGAUAUUCCCUCCGAAGUUGAAGACGAAAUGCCUGAAUCUUCUGCCACAAACCAACCUUCUCCAGCCCAGCCCAAUCCACCCAGUCAAAAAUCGUCAAAUGGUCCAUGGUUCACAUUUGAUGAUCUUCCAUCUCAUAAAUGGCGUGACCGACUCAAUGAAAUGUCUGCCUGGAUUGACCUGCAGAUGCUAAGAACAGGAGCAACAACUCAAUCAGUCCUUAGAGAAUUUGCUACUCGUUUUACGGGUGCUCUAAGAGAUUGGUUUGAUUCGUUAGGACAAUAUCGCCAGUUACAGUUUGUUGACCUUCCAGAAGUUUCAAGUGCUCUUGCUGUACUUCAUGAUCAAUUCCUUGGCGACCCUUCUGCAGUCUUUGAAGCUGCCAGACGAGACUACCUCAACAUGAAAUGCUGCUCCCUCAAUGCUAAGGAUCUUGACUUCCAUUAUAAGCGAAUGUCCCUGCUGUUCUAUAAGCUUAAUGGAUUCAAUGAGCCGACAUUAAAGCAUGUCUUUCUGGCUUCCCUCCCCGAAGAACUCCAACCUGACAUCCAGAGACAACUUACAGCAUCCAAUCUUUCCCUAGACAACAUCUCCCUUGGCAAAAUCUUCCAGCUUGCCAAAACCUGUCUUGACAAACUUUGCGAGCAAAAACAGUUUUUCAAAGAACUGUUGAAAGACAAAGAACCUUUCCGCAGUGCUUGCAAAAAGCCUUAUUUACAGAUCAAAUGCCACAAGAAAAAGGAUUGCGAUUGCAGUUCAAAGAAAAAACGGCAUUUUCGGAAAUUCAAAACUCCAGAAUUUUCAUCCAAACCUCGCAGAUCCCGAAAGCCCUACCGGUUCUUCCGAAAGAAAUCUUCCUCCUCCAGAGAAUUCAAACGAAAGCAAUCAAGCAGAUGUUUCAUCUGCAAGAGAAAAGGCCACUAUGCCAAAGAUUGUCCCAACAAAAGAGAAAAGGCCAUCCGGUUGGUUGAACAUCUUCAAGCAACCACAGACUACUCUCCUGCCAAAGAUGAAUUGGAAUUCUAUUUCUCUGAACAAGAUGAACCCAACGAUGAAACAGUGUUCGCACUACAAAAUUCCUCUGACUCAGAUAGUGACCAGUCUCAAGUGAUUUUCCACCAACAGUUACUCUCCCUUGAUACUACAGUUCCUAUCCCAUCCAUCAAACUCCAGAUCUUGCCCUCAAAAUUCCAAAGGCCCAUUCCAGCAAUUGGUCUUAUAGAUACUGGUGCCCAACGAAGCAUGUUGAACCCCCAUAUUCUUCCACCAGAAUAUUGGACCCAGUCUGAAGAACAUUUCAAAGCUGUCAAUGGCAAACUCUUCACCACCUCUUUGAUUACCAAAAAAUCCAUUGGUAUUCAAAUCUUCCCAAAUUGUGUCAUUUGGACCAAGGUUAUUGGUUCCACUCUUCCUAAUAAGGAUAUCUUAUUAGGAUUUGACAUCCUUCACCAAAUCAAACACCUCCAAAUCAUUCCCACUGGAAUCCGAGUCAAGUCCAUGUUCAAACCAUUCACAAACAUUCUGAAACUCUACAAUUUGUCUGAAACUCCCCAGUCUUACCAGGAUAUUUCAACCAAACUUUUGAGUUUCUGUCCAGAGUCCCAUUCUGAGUUCACCCAUCCAAAUCCAUUGUGGAAAAAUAAGUCUUUCUUCAUUAAGUUACCCUUCAAACUCAAUGAAGACAUUAACCCAACUAAAGCUACCCAUCCAGGAAUGAGUCCUUCUGACUUACUCCUAGCCCAACAAGAAUGUUCACAAUUGUUGGCCCAAGGUUUAAUUGAGCCCACAAGUUCCCAAUGGGCUUGCCAAGCCUUUUAUGUUGAAAAGCAUUCUGAAAUUGUCCGAGGAAAGAAACGCCUAGUCAUUGACUACCAGCCAUUAAACAUGUUUUUACAAGAUGACAAAUUCCCUUUACCUCGCCGACAAAGCAUGUUCACUUUUCUUAAAAAUGCCCAGAUCUUUUCAAAAUUUGAUUUAAAAUCUGGUUUUUGGCAACUCGGCAUUGAACCCUCCGAACGUUACAAAACCGCUUUUUGUAUUCCCAAUGCCCAUUUCCAAUGGACCGUCCUACCCUUUGGCCUCAAAACUGCCCCCUCCAUUUUCCAAAAAUCCAUGGUCCAAAUCUUCCAGCCCAUUUUGCAUCAUGCAUUGAUUUACAUUGACGAUAUUUUGCUUUUUUCAGGAUCGCAUGAAGAACAUCGCAACCUAUUGUCCCAAUUCUAUGAUAUUAUCCAAAGUCAUGGAAUCAUGUUAUCAGCCAAGAAAAGCACCAUUGCUACAGAUAAUAUUGAAUUCCUUGGUAUGAUCAUUAAAGAUGGACACUACCAGCCAGGAAAGCACAUUGCCCAAGAAUUGCUUCACUUUCCAGAUCAGCAACUUUCCAAAAGGCAAAUCCAACAGUUUCUCGGCAUUAUCAAUUACAUCCGUGAUUUCCUCCCACAUGUGGACCAUCACACUCAUCAUCUCUCAGCUUUAUUGAAAAAGCAGCCCCCAGAAUGGAAUGCUGACCACACACGUGCUGUCACUACUCUCAAGCAGAUUGCGCAAAAUCCGCCUCCUUUAAAGUUGCUUACUGAUGGCAAGCGCAUAUUACAGACAGACGCAAGUGAUGAAUCAUGGGGUGCCAUCCUCCUCGAAGAACUCAAUGACAAGGAACACUUUAUCGCUUACGCUAGUGGACAUUUUUCUGAAACACAGAAGCACUACCAUAGCGUGUUUAAAGAAAUCUUAGCGGUAAAGAAUGGCAUCAAAAAGUUUGAGUAUCAUCUGAUUGGACACCAUUUUCUCAUCCGAAUGGACAGCUCAGCCUUCCCCAAUAUCUUUCAUUUCAAAGGUAAAACUGUUCCCGAAAAAAUGUUACUCAGAUUAAAAGAUUGGUUUUCCAAAUAUGACUUUUCAGUCAAGCAUAUAAAGGGAUCCCAGAACCUCAUCCCUGAUAUGCUCUCCAGACUCUCUAAACCACAAGGCCCUCUCACCCUGUUUUCCACCACCUACCAUUUUCCAAUUAUCUCCAUGGCUACCUCACUACCCCCAGAAGCUCUCACCAAGAAAACUUUUCCCUUCAACAAAACCUUCUCUUCUGUUUUUAUCCAAGAAUUUGCAAGAAAAGCUCUCUUUCGCUUUUUCAUGAAAGCCUACCUUGUCACCGACCCUUUUCCUUUUUCCACUUUCCACCCAGAAAAUCUGUUCCUUACAGGUUUAACCCUUGAUCCGACCAGAGACACCACUGAAGACGUGUUAUGGUACAUCUGGUGCCUAACAGUCCUUUACGCAACCAAGUUAGUCCUCCCCAUUUCUCCCACUCUGGACCACCUCCUUAAUCCAGAUAACGCCACCUCCCUUACCUGGACCCUACUUGAAUGGUUCUCCCCCAUCCCAUGGUGGAGAAUGAAACUGCAACAACUGUCCGAAAUUUACAACCUUGACCGUAUGCCUGCCCCUGAAGCACAAAUGUUCACAUCAGUUUUUAUUAUUCACAGGCCAUACUUCCAACAUCCAGACACCCAUCUCUUUUGGACUCAAGAUCAGGUAUAUGAAUGGUUCACUGCACCACAUAUAGCUGUGAUUGAAAAUGACAUACAAGACGUCCUGCACAAUUACCUUUGCCAAUUAAACCACCAACCUCCGCCACUUAAAGAUAUCUCUCACACCUCCUUAGGUCCACAACAUGACCUUCUCAUGAUACCCACUCCAUCUGCCAUAUCUAAACCUAAGUCCACUGGCAUCAUCAUCAAAGAAGAACGACCAGACUACACUGACUUCCUUUAUCAAGACUCACAAGAUCCAUGGGAAGAUUUUCUUCCUCUAAGCCAACACCUCCACCAGUUUCCCCAACCAACAAUGGAUGAACCUGGCCCCUCCGUACUCCGUACCAGGACCCUCAACCCAAUCUUCCAAACAACCAUCCAAAGUUGACAAAGCCACCCAAACUUCCCCUAAGUAUACUCCGAAGUGUACUCCCAGAGACUAUAAUUGCCCUUAUCCACCAUGCCGUGGUCCCUCCUGUAAGCAUCCAAAGCUCUCCAAAACUUUCUUCCAAAAGCAUCCUCACUCUGGUGAUACGGACCCAGAUGAGACCGAAAGCUCAUCCGAAGACGAGUACAUGAAUCUCCGCUCUCCAUAAAGUUGUUUGUCUUGUUGCUUUCAAUAAAGUAGUUUGUCUUGUUGUCAUAAUGAUGUUUCGCUAUUAAAGUUUGUUUUUACUUUAAUACUUUUGUCCAAGUCAUGCUUUAAUUAUUAAAGCACUAAUUAUUAAAGCACUUUUGUCUUUUGUAAUAAUUAAAGUCGUGCAAUUAUGUAAAAGAUAGGGGUCCUGUCCUAUCUUCUCACGAAUCCUCCUCUAUAUAAAGGAUUCUCCCCUUGCUUGUAAGAUAUAGAAGUUUAAGGAUUCUCCCCUUGCUUGUAAGAUAUAGAAGUUUGAAAGAAAUAAACUCGUGUUUUUCUCUUACACCCUAAGAAAGAAACAGAAUAAAGAAUUAAAUUUGUUCAUUUUGAAAACCUAAGGAAGUAUGCUCUGCACUUGCCUUUUCAAAUGUUUUAAAGGUUUUUGAUUACAGAGGUAUAUCGGCUGGAAACCCGAGCUUGCGGACUACUGGAAAGAAGUCUGUUUUGGGUUGUAUAACCCGAGAAAAAUGUUUUAAAAGUUUUGCGAAAGUAUAUCGGCUGGAAACCCGAGCUUGCGGACUACUGGUCCAAAGAACAGUUUUAACUGUUGUAGUUCUGGUAUAACAACGCCACGUACUUCACCAUAACUGGUAUCAGAGCCAUACCCAUCCUUGAAAAUUUCAUGUUUUCUAAAUUCACGAUUUCUUGCCCAAAAUGGUAUAAUUUAAGGCUUUUUCUAUUUUGAUCUCUAGAACUUCAGGCGCAGAGAGAACUUCUCCUUCAUGGCAUCCACUUCCUCUUCACCUCCUGUUACUCUUUCUUCCACCCUUUCUUUACCGAAAUCUUGCACUUCUCAUACUACUAAUAAAAUUGAAAAUCUUGUAGAAUACUCCUACAUCCCUGAAUCCGCCCAAAUCAGUGAAUCUUCUUACCCUCUCCUCAGCCCUUAUCAGUUGUAUAAACGACCUAGCUCCUUUACCCGCAGUAUCCGCACCCUUAUCUCUACCAGACGCCCUCACCCUAAAGAAUACAUCCAGUCUUCCCGCCUGGAUCAGUGUGCUCUUCAAGCCACCUCUGCUGAGCAAUAUGUCACUCUGGAGAUUCCCUCCGAGUUGCUCUCCAACUGGAAACGAGAAGGUUAUACUCAUCUCCACCUUGGCGGCAUCAGAUUAAUCCUUACCCUUCAUGGGAGAAAAGGAUUACCGGUUACCGCUCGACUUGCUAUGCUUGAUACCCGGUUUAAACAGUACCAAGAUGCUGUUAUCGGUACUGUCCUCACAACCCUUCAUGCAGGAAGUGUUUUACUCACUUUCUAUCCCAAUUUCAAUCUUUCUCUCCAAGACCCCAAUUUGCCCACAACCUUGAAAGUCCAAGUUCAGAUUCAAGGUGCUGAACAAAUUUCUUCUGCAAAAAUUGCCACUUUACAUCACCAACUGGUCUACAGGCUUCAAAAUCAUGCCUUAGAUCUACCCGCUCCAGAACACCACUCUGACACCCUCAUGGUGUUAGCAGAAUCUGACCAGAUCCCGACAAUCAUCCAGAUUCCCCGACAAAUUCCCCGUCAUGAGCUCAUCAAGCUUAUGCCUCUUGAAUGGAUCUCCAACUAUGAACAGUUCCACAACAAUACAGCUCCAAUUCAGACCUCUGACGGCAUGUUUGAAAGACGACAUGAUGGAACAGUCAGAAUGACUUUUAAACCACCCCCCAGUGCUCCACAAGAGCCUCCUAGGCUCUCCUUUACCUAUUCUUCAAUGAUCACAGCUGUUCAGACAGCGCAGGAAGAUCUGCCCAUUACAGGGUUUAAUUCUCAAGGCUACCCUGUUUAUCCAGCCAAACACAAUGGCCAUUUCCUAUGGGAUGCCCCUGGUUCCGGCAUGUGUGACCCAAAUUGUCCCUGCUGGGAUGAUUGGGAAGAAGACGAUGAUUACGCAACCACAAGGAAAAAGAAACCCAAAAAGAAAAAACCUCCUGUUCCAUGUCACCACUGUGACCCUAAACCACCAUCAGAUCCUCCACCUCCACCGGCUCCAUUACCCAUCUACCGAAAAGAACUCACAUGGAUUGCCAAACAUUGCAAAUCUGCGAUUCCAUCACCACUCUCACACCCAACACCUACCGUCCAACCACUGGCUUGUAUGAUGUUUUCCUCUACUUCUUCAGAUUACUCUUCCUUUCCUCCUUUGGAACCCCAUACAGAUUCUCAACGAAAUGUUGUGUCCAAACCCUUUAUCCCUUCCCCUAUUACCUCCACUGGCCACCUAGAACCUCCCAAACCUUUUGAAUCAGUCCUCAACUGGCAAACCCAAAAUGCUAGAGCACAGAAUGAUACUUUGGUCAAUAUCAAUUCCAAAGUUGAGAAAAUCAGUUUACGAACUGACCAGCUUGAGACAAAGGUUGACUCCAUCUCUGCACAGAUGCAGCAGAUCCACCAAAAUCUCCAAUCCAGAAUUGGCCAACUCGAUUCAGAGUUACGAGCCAUGCUAGCCCACAGAUACAAUGGUCCCGAAUUUGACCAAAAGGAAAGGGAAAUCAGGCGAUUAAAAGCUGAACUUGCUCAGAUUGAAUCUGAAAAACAGAGACCUACCCUUUUCACCAGUUCACCUCUUAUUCCUUCUAUCGGUCCAACUUACCAUCCUUUUGCCUCUAUACUCUCUCCUAUUAAACAAUAUGACCCUUCCAAGUUAUUUGGCAUGACUCAUACUCUUUUCAGAGACAAUCCUUUGCCACCGCCACCUAAACCUAAACCCAAACCUAGACCGCAGCCUCGACCUCCCCCUCUUCAUCCUUCCUCUCUGACCACCCCUGGCCAACCAUCUCCUACUUUUACACCGACCUCACCACCAGCUCCUUUAUCAGUCCCUGCCCAAUCAAAAGAUAAAGAACCCAUGAACCAAUUUACUGCUCACGCAGUCAUCCAUUCAUCUACUGACGAUCAAACUUCUGCUUCAAAUCUAGCUGUUUCAGAUAGCCAUACCGAAACCGACUCAGAAUCUUCAGCAUCCACCAGUGACUCUGAAAAGUCCUAUGCUGAUAUUACCAAAAUCCUGAUGGCUCAACCUGAUCAAGGCCAAACCUCUCAUACAGAACCAUAUGUUGAUAUUCCCUCCGAAGUUGAAGACGAAAUGCCUGAAUCUUCUGCCACAAACCAACCUUCUCCAGCCCAGCCCAAUCCACCCAGUCAAAAAUCGUCAAAUGGUCCAUGGUUCACAUUUGAUGAUCUUCCAUCUCAUAAAUGGCGUGACCGACUCAAUGAAAUGUCUGCCUGGAUUGACCUGCAGAUGCUAAGAACAGGAGCAACAACUCAAUCAGUCCUUAGAGAAUUUGCUACUCGUUUUACGGGUGCUCUAAGAGAUUGGUUUGAUUCGUUAGGACAAUAUCGCCAGUUACAGUUUGUUGACCUUCCAGAAGUUUCAAGUGCUCUUGCUGUACUUCAUGAUCAAUUCCUUGGCGACCCUUCUGCAGUCUUUGAAGCUGCCAGACGAGACUACCUCAACAUGAAAUGCUGCUCCCUCAAUGCUAAGGAUCUUGACUUCCAUUAUAAGCGAAUGUCCCUGCUGUUCUAUAAGCUUAAUGGAUUCAAUGAGCCGACAUUAAAGCAUGUCUUUCUGGCUUCCCUCCCCGAAGAACUCCAACCUGACAUCCAGAGACAACUUACAGCAUCCAAUCUUUCCCUAGACAACAUCUCCCUUGGCAAAAUCUUCCAGCUUGCCAAAACCUGUCUUGACAAACUUUGCGAGCAAAAACAGUUUUUCAAAGAACUGUUGAAAGACAAAGAACCUUUCCGCAGUGCUUGCAAAAAGCCUUAUUUGCAGAUCAAAUGCCACAAGAAAAAGGAUUGCGAUUGCAGUUCAAAGAAAAAACGGCAUUUUCGGAAAUUCAAAACUCCAGAAUUUUCAUCCAAACCUCGCAGAUCCCGAAAGCCCUACCGGUUCUUCCGAAAGAAAUCUUCCUCCUCCAGAGAAUUCAAACGAAAGCAAUCAAGCAGAUGUUUCAUCUGCAAGAGAAAAGGCCACUAUGCCAAAGAUUGUCCCAACAAAAGAGAAAAGGCCAUCCGGUUGGUUGAACAUCUUCAAGCAACUACAGACUACUCUCCUGCCAAAGAUGAAUUGGAAUUCUAUUUCUCUGAACAAGAUGAACCCAACGAUGAAACAGUGUUCGCACUACAAAAUUCCUCUGACUCAGAUAGUGACCAGUCUCAAGUGAUUUUCCACCAACAGUUACUCUCCCUUGAUACUACAGUUCCUAUCCCAUCCAUCAAACUCCAGAUCUUGCCCUCAAAAUUCCAAAGGCCCAUUCCAGCAAUUGGUCUUAUAGAUACUGGUGCCCAACGAAGCAUGUUGAACCCCCAUAUUCUUCCACCAGAAUAUUAGACCCAGUCUGAAGAACAUUUCAAAGCUGUCAAUGGCAAACUCUUCACCACCUCUUUGAUUACCAAAAAAUCCAUUGGUAUUCAAAUCUUCCCAAAUUGUGUCAUUUGGACCAAGGUUAUUGGUUCCACUCUUCCUAAUAAGGAUAUCUUAUUAGGAUUUGACAUCCUUCACCAAAUCAAACACCUCCAAAUCAUUCCCACUGGAAUCCGAGUCAAGUCCAUGUUCAAACCAUUCACAAACAUUCUGAAACUCUACAAUUUGUCUGAAACUCCCCAGUCUUACCAGGAUAUUUCAACCAAACUUUUGAGUUUCUGUCCAGAGUCCCAUUCUGAGUUCACCCAUCCAAAUCCAUUGUGGAAAAAUAAGUCUUUCUUCAUUAAGUUACCCUUCAAACUCAAUGAAGACAUUAACCCAACUAAAGCUACCCAUCCAGGAAUGAGUCCUUCUGACUUACUCCUAGCCCAACAAGAAUGUUCACAAUUGUUAGCCCAAGGUUUAAUCGAGCCCACAAGUUCCCAAUGGGCUUGCCAAGCCUUUUAUGUUGAAAAGCAUUCUGAAAUUGUCCGAGGAAAGAAACGCCUAGUCAUUGACUACCAGCCAUUAAACAUGUUUUUACAAGAUGACAAAUUCCCUUUACCUCGCCGACAAAGCAUGUUCACUUUUCUUAAAAAUGCCCAGAUCUUUUCAAAAUUUGAUUUAAAAUCUGGUUUUUGGCAACUCGGCAUUGAACCCUCCGAACGUUACAAAACCGCCUUUUGUAUUCCCAAUGCCCAUUUCCAAUGGACCGUCCUACCCUUUGGCCUCAAAACUGCCCCCUCCAUUUUCCAAAAAUCCAUGGUCCAAAUCUUCCAGCCCAUUUUGCAUCAUGCAUUGAUUUACAUUGACGAUAUUUUGCUUUUUUCAGGAUCGCAUGAAGAACAUCGCAACCUAUUGUCCCAAUUCUAUGAUAUUAUCCAAAGUCAUGGAAUCAUGUUAUCAGCCAAGAAAAGCACCAUUGCUACAGAUAAUAUUGAAUUCCUUGGUAUGAUCAUUAAAGAUGGACACUACCAGCCAGGAAAGCACAUUGCCCAAGAAUUGCUUCACUUUCCAGAUCAGCAACUUUCCAAAAGGCAAAUCCAACAGUUUCUCGGCAUUAUCAAUUACAUCCGUGAUUUCCUCCCACAUGUGGACCAUCACACUCAUCAUCUCUCGGCUUUAUUGAAAAAGAAGCCCCCAGAAUGGAAUGCUGACCACACACGUGCUGUCACUACUCUCAAGCAGAUUGCGCAAAAUCCGCCUCCUUUAAAGUUGAUUACUGAUGGCAAGCGCAUAUUACAGACAGACGCAAGUGAUGAAUCAUGGGGUGCCAUCCUCCUCGAAGAACUCAAUGACAAGGAACACUUUAUCGAUUUUUGACUGGGUGGAUUGGGCUGGGCUGGAGAAGGUUGGUUUGUGGCAGAAGAUUCAGGCAUAAAGAAUGGCAUCAAAAAGUUUGAGUAUCAUCUGAUUGGACACCAUUUUCUCAUCCGAAUGGACAGCUCAGCCUUCCCCAAUAUCUUUCAUUUCAAAGGUAAAACUGUUCCCGAAAAAAUGUUACUCAGAUUAAAAGAUUGGUUUUCCAAAUAUGACUUUUCAGUCAAGCAUAUAAAGGGAUCCCAGAACCUCAUCCCUGAUAUGCUCUCCAGACUCUCUAAACCACAAGGCCCUCUCACCCUGUUUUCCACCACCUACCAUUUUCCAAUUAUCUCCAUGGCUACCUCACUACCCCCAGAAGCUCUCACCAAGAAAACUUUUCCCUUCAACAAAACCUUCUCUUCUGUUUUUGAUAUCCAAGAAUUUGCAAGAAAAGCUCUCUUUCGCUUUUUCAUGAAAGCCUACCUUGUCACCGACCCUUUUCCUUUUUCCACUUUCCACCCAGAAAAUCUGUUCCUUACAGGUUUAACCCUUGAUCCGACCAGAGACACCACUGAAGACGUGUUAUGGUACAUCUGGUGCCUAACAGUCCUUUACGCAACCAAGUUAGUCCUCCCCAUUUCUCCCACUCUGGACCACCUCCUUAAUCCAGAUAACGCCACCUCCCUUACCUGGACCCUACUUGAAUGGUUCUCCCCCAUCCCAUGGUGGAGAAUGAAACUGCAACAACUGUCCGAAAUUUACAACCUUGACCGUAUGCCUGCCCCUGAAGCACAAAUGUUCACAUCAGUUUUUAUUAUUCACAGGCCAUACUUCCAACAUCCAGACACCCAUCUCUUUUGGACUCAAGAUCAGGUAUAUGAAUGGUUCACUGCACCACAUAUAGCUGUGAUUGAAAAUGACAUACAAGACGUCCUGCACAAUUACCUUUGCCAAUUAAACCACCAACCUCCGCCACUUAAAGAUAUCUCUCACACCUCCUUAGGUCCACAACAUGACCUUCUCAUGAUACCCACUCCAUCUGCUAUAUCUAAACCUAAGUCCACUGGCAUCAUCAUCAAAGAAGAACGACCAGACUACACUGACUUUCUUUACCAAGACUCACAAGAUCCAUGGGAAGAUUUUCUUCCUCUGAGCCAACACCUCCACCAGUUUCCCCAACCAACAAUGGAUGAACCUGGCCCCUCCGUACCAGGACCCUCAACCCAAUCUUCCAAACGACCAGCUCAACCAUCCAAAGUUGACAAAGCCACCCAAACUUCCCCUAAGUAUACUCCGAAGUGUACUCCCAGAGACUAUAAUUGCCCUUAUCCACCAUGCCGUGGUCCCUCCUGUAAGCAUCCAAAGCUCUCCAAAACUUUCUUCCAAAAGCAUCCUCACUCUGGUGAUACGGACCCAGAUGAGACCGAAAGCUCAUCCGAAGACGAGUACAUGAAUCUCCGCUCUCCAUAAAGUUGUUUGUCUUGUUGCUUUCAAUAAAGUAGUUUGUCUUGUUGUCAUAAUGAUGUUUCGCUUUAUGUUUGCAUAAUUAUUAAAGUUUGUUUUUACUUUAAUACUUUUGUCCAAGUCAUGCUUUAAUUAUUAAAGCACUUUUGUCUUUUGUAAUAAUUAAAGUCGUGCAAUUAUGUAAAAGAUAGGGGUCCUGUCCUAUCUUCUCACGAAUCCUCCUCUAUAUAAAGGAUUCUCCCCUUGCUUGUAAGAUAUAGAAGUUUGAAAGAAAUAAACUCGUGUUUUUCUCUUACACCAUGAAUCCCUAAAACUCUUCUCUCUCUCUGCAAAUGAAGUCCUAAGAAAGAAACAGAAUAAAGAAUUAAAUUUGUUCAUUUUGAAAACCUAAGGAAGUAUGCUCUGCACUUGCCUUUUCUAAGGAUCCUGUGCAUCAGAAAACUUUUGAUCAUUUCUUAUCUGGUUUGGUACCCUGUUUUAGACUAAAGGAAAGUCUGUUUUGGGUUGUAUAACCUGAGAAAAAUGUUUUAAAGGUUUUUGAUUACAGAGGUAUAUCGGCUGGAAACCCGAGCUUGCGGACUACUGGUCCAAAUCUUAGGACUUCAUUUGCAGAGAGAGAGAAGAGUUUUAGGGAUUCAUGGUGUAAGAGAAAAACACGAGGAGAGAACUUCUCCUUCAUGGCAUCCACUUCCUCUUCACCUCCUGUUACUCUUUCUUCCACCCUUUCUUUACCGAAAUUGAUCUCUAGCACUUCAGGCGCAGAGAGAACUUCUCCUUCAUGGCAUCCACUUCCUCUUCACCUCCUGUUACUCUUUCUUCCACCCUUUCUUUACCGAAAUCUUGCACUUCUCAUACUACUAAUAAAAUUGAAAAUCUUGUAGAAUACUCCUACAUCCCUGAAUCCGCCCAAAUCAGUGAAUCUUCUUACCCUCUCCUCAGCCCUUAUCAGUUGUAUAAACGACCUAGCUCCUUUACCCGCAGUAUCCGCACCCUUAUCUCUACCAGACGCCCUCACCCUAAAGAAUACAUCCAGUCUUCCCGCCUGGAUCAGUGUGCUCUUCAAGCCACCUCUGCUGAGCAAUAUGUCACUCUGGAGAUUCCCUCCGAGUUGCUCUCCAACUGGAAACGAGAAGGUUAUACUCAUCUCCACCUUGGCGGCAUCAGAUUAAUCCUUACCCUUCAUGGGAGAAAAGGAUUACCGGUUACCGCUCGACUUGCUAUGCUUGAUACCCGGUUUAAACAGUACCAAGAUGCUGUUAUCGGUACUGUUCUCACAACCCUUCAUGCAGGAAGUGUUUUACUCACUUUCUAUCCCAAUUUCAAUCUUUCUCUCCAAGACCCCCAUUUGCCCACAACCUUGAAAGUCCAAGUUCAGAUUCAAGGUGCUGAACAAAUUUCUUCUGCAAAAAUUGCCACUUUACAUCACCAACUGGUCUACAGGCUUCAAAAUCAUGCCUUAGAUCUACCCGCUCCAGAACACCACUCUGACACCCUCAUGGUGUUAGCAGAAUCUGACCAGAUCCCGACAAUCAUCCAGAUUCCCCGACAAAUUCCCCGUCAUGAGCUCAUCAAGCUUAUGCCUCUUGAAUGGAUCUCCAACUAUGAACAGUUCCACAACAAUACAGCUCCAAUUCAGACCUCUGACGGCAUGUUUGAAAGACGACAUGAUGGAACAGUCAGAAUGACUUUUAAACCACCCCCCAGUGCUCCACAAGAGCCUCCUAGGCUCUCCUUUACCUAUUCUUCAAUGAUCACAGCUGUUCAGACAGCGCAGGAAGAUCUGCCCAUUACAGGGUUUAAUUCUCAAGGCUACCCUGUUUAUCCAGCCAAACACAAUGGCCAUUUCCUAUGGGAUGCCCCUGGUUCCGGCAUGUGUGCCCCAAAUUGUCCCUGCUGGGAUGAUUGGGAAGAAGACGAUGAUUACGCAACCACAAGGAAAAAGAAACCCAAAAAGAAAAAACCUCCUGUUCCAUGUCACCACUGUGACCCUAAACCACCAUCAGAUCCUCCACCUCCACCGGCUCCAUUACCCAUCUACCGAAAAGAACUCACAUGGAUUGCCAAACAUUGCAAAUCUGCGAUUCCAUCACCACUCUCACACCCAACACCUACCGUCCAACCACUGGCUUGUAUGAUGUUUUCCUCUACUUCUUCAGAUUACUCUUCCUUUCCUCCUUUGGAACCCCAUACAGAUUCUCAACGAAAUGUUGUGUCCAAACCCUUUAUCCCUUCACCUAUUACCUCCAUUGGCCACCUAGAACCUCCCAAACCUUUUGAAUCAGUCCUCAACUGGCAAACCCAAAAUGCUAGAGCACAGAAUGAUACUUUGGUCAAUAUCAAUUCCAAAGUUGAGAAAAUCAGUUUACGAACUGAACAGCUUGAGACAAAGGUUGACUCCAUCUCUGCUCAGAUGCAGCAGAUCCACCAAAAUCUCCAGUCCAGAAUUGGCCAACUCGAUUCAGAGUUACGAGCCAUGCUAGCCCACAGAUACAAUGGUCCCGAAUUUGACCAAAAGGAAAGGGAAAUCAGGCGAUUAAAAGCUGAACUUGCUCAGAUUGAAUCUGAAAAACAGAGACCUACCCUUUUCACCAGUUCACCUCUUAUUCCUUCUAUCGGUCCAACUUACCAUCCUUUUGCCUCUAUGCUCUCUCCUAUUAAACAAUAUGACCCUUCCAAGUUAUUUGGCAUGACUCAUACUCUUUUCAGAGACAAUCCUUUGCCACCGCCACCUAAACCUAAACCCAAACCUAGACCGCAGCCUCGACCUCCCCCUCUUCAUCCUUCCUCUCUGACCAUCCCUGGCCAACCAUCUCCUACUUUUACACCGACCUCACCACCAGCUCCUUUAUCAGUCCCUGCCCAAUCAAAAGAUAAAGAACCCAUGAACCAAUUUACUGCUCACGCAGUCAUCCAUUCAUCUACUGACGAUCAAACUUCUGCUUCAAAUCUAGCUGUUUCAGAUAGCCAUACCGAAACCGACUCAGAAUCUUCAGCAUCCACCAGUGACUCUGAAAAGUCCUAUGCUGAUAUUACCAAAAUCCUGAUGGCUCAACCUGAUCAAGGCCAAACCUCUCAUACAGAACCAUAUGUUGAUAUUCCCUCCGAAGUUGAAGACGAAAUGCCUGAAUCUUCUGCCACAAACCAACCUUCUCCAGCCCAGCCCAAUCCACCCAGUCAAAAAUCGUCAAAUGGUCCAUGGUUCACAUUUGAUGAUCUUCCAUCUCAUAAAUGGCGUGACCGACUCAAUGAAAUGUCUGCCUGGAUUGAC
rnacentral:lncRNA from 1 species